AUUGAACGCUAGCGGGAUGCCUAACACAUGCAAGUCGAACGGAGUGGCGGACGGGUGAGUAAUGUAUGGGCACGUGCCCGGUAGCGGGGGAUAACUACGCGAAAGCGAAGCUAAUACCGCAUACUAUUAGAGCGGCCGCUAUCGGAUUAGCUAGUUGGUGGGGUAACGGCUCACCAAGGCGACGAUCCGUAGCUGGUUUGAGAGGACGACCAGCCACACUGGAACUGAGACACGGCCCAGACGCCUACGGGAGGCAGCAGUGGGGAAGUUUGGACAAUGGGCGCAAGCCUGAUCCAGCCAUGCCGCGUGUGUGAAGAAGGCCUUCGGGUUGUAAAGCACUUUUGGCAGGGAGGCGUUACCCGCAGAAUAAGCACCGGCUAACUCCGUGCCAGCAGCCGCGGUAAUUC
rnacentral:rRNA from 1 species